CCGCGGUAAUACGAAGGGGGUUAGCGUUGCUCGGAAUCACUGGGCGUAAAGCGCACGUAGGCGGGUUGUUAAGUCAGGGGUGAAAUCCUGGAGCUCAACUCCAGAACUGCCUUUGAUACUGGCGACCUUGAGUCCGGGAGAGGUGAGUGGAAUUGCGAGUGUAGAGGUGAAAUUCGUAGAUAUUCGCAAGAACACCAGUGGCGAAGGCGGCUCACUGGCCCGGUACUGACGCUGAGGUGCGAAAGCGUGG
rnacentral:rRNA from 1 species